rnacentral:rRNA from 1 species
CACGCAGGCGGUUUGUUAAGUCAGAUGUGAAAUCCCCGGGCUCAACCUGGGAACUGCAUCUGAUACUGGCAAGCUUGAGUCUCGUAGAGGGGGGUAGAAUUCCAGGUGUAGCGGUGAAAUGCGUAGAGAUCUGGAGGAAUACCGGUGGCGAAGGCGGCCCCCUCGGACGAAGACUGACGCUCAGGUGCGAAAGCGUGGGAGCAAACA